AUUGAACGCUGGCGGCAUGCCUUACACAUGCAAGUCGAACGGCAGCACGGGUGCUUGCCCCUGGUGGCGAGUGGCGAACGGGUGAGUAAUACAUCGGAACAUGUCCUGUAGUGGGGGAUAGCCCGGCGAAAGCCGGAUUAAUACCGCAUACGAUCCACGGAUGAAAGCGGGGGACCUUCGGGCCUCGCGCUAUAGGGUUGGCCGAUGGCUGAUUAGCUAGUUGGUGGGGUAAAGGCCUACCAAGGCGACGAUCAGUAGCUGGUCUGAGAGGACGACCAGCCACACUGGGACUGAGACACGGCCCAGACGCCUACGGGAGGCAGCAGUGGGGAAUUUUGGACAAUGGGCGAAAGCCUGAUCCAGCAAUGCCGCGUGUGUGAAGAAGGCCUUCGGGUUGUAAAGCACUUUUGUCCGGAAAGAAAUCCUUGGCUCUAAUACAGUCGGGGGAUGACGGUACCGGAAGAAUAAGCACCGGCUAACUACGUG
rnacentral:rRNA from 1 species